rnacentral:rRNA from 1 species
UACGUAGGGUGCGAGCGUUAAUCGGAAUUACUGGGCGUAAAGCGUGCGCAGGCGGUUAUUUAAGUCAGGGGUGAAAUCCCCGGGCUCAACCUGGGAACUGCAUUUGUGACUGCAUCGCUGGAGUGCGGCAGAGGGGGAUGGAAUUCCGCGUGUAGCAGUGAAAUGCGUAGAUAUGCGGAGGAACACCGAUGGCGAAGGCAAUCCCCUGGGCCUGCACUGACGCUCAUGCACGAAAGCGUGGGGAGCAAACAGG